rnacentral:rRNA from 1 species
AGAGUUUGAUCCUGGCUCAGGAUGAACGCUGGCGGCGUGCCUAAUACAUGCAAGUCGAGCGGAAGGUUUAGCAAUAGACCUUUAGCGGCGAACGGGUGAGUAACGCGUUGGUGACCUGCCUCGAAGCUUGGGAUAACAGUUCGAAAGGACUGCUAAUACCGGAUGUGUUCACGUGGAUUAGAGGCCAUGUGAGUAAAGGAGAAAUUCACUUCGAGAGGGGCCUGCGUCCCAUCAGCUAGUUGGAAGGGUAACGGCCUCCCAAGGCGAUGACGGGUAGGGGACCUGAGAGGGUGGCCCCCCACAAUGGAACUGAAACACGGUCCAUACACCUACGGGUGGCAGCAGUAGGGAAUAUUGCAUAAUGGGCGAAAGCCUGAUGCAGCAACGCCGCGUGUGCGAUGAAGGCCUUCGGGCCGUAAAGCACUUUUGAAGGGGAUGAGGAAGGACAGUACCCUUCGAAUAAGCUUCGGCUAACUACGUGCCAGCAGCCGCGGUAAAACGUAGGAAGCGAGCGUUAUCCGGAUUUACUGGGUGUAAAGCGCGUGUAGGCGGUUUGGCAAGUUGGAUGUGAAAGCUCCUGGCUUAACUGGGAGAGGUCGUACAAAACUACCAGACUAGAGGAUGGGAGAGGGAGGCGGAAUUCCGGGUGUAGUGGUGAAAUGCGUAGAUAUCCGGAGGAACACCAGUGGCGAAAGCGGCCUCCUGGCCCAUAACUGACGCUCAGACGCGAAAGCUAGGGGAGCGAACGGGAUUAGAGACCCCGGUAGUCCUAGCUGUAAACGAUGUGAACUUGGCGUUGGCGGGUUUAAAUCCGUCAGUGCCGAAGCAAACGCGAUAAGUUCACCACCUGGGGACUACGGCCGCAAGGUUGAAACUCAAAGGAAUUGACGG